rnacentral:rRNA from 1 species
UACGUAGGUGGCAAGCGUUGUCCGGAUUUACUGGGCGUAAAGAGCGCGCAGGCGGUCGUUCAAGUCGCGUGUGAAAGCCCCCGGCUCAACUGGGGAGGGUCACGCGAUACUGAUCGACUCGAAGGCAGGAGAGGGUAGUGGAAUUCCCGGUGUAGUGGUGAAAUGCGUAGAUAUCGGGAGGAACACCAGUGGCGAAGGCGGCGAUCUGGGUGGAUACUGACGCUGAGGUGCGAAAGCGUGGGGAGCAAACAGG